rnacentral:rRNA from 1 species
UACGGGGGGUGCGAGCGUUGUCCGGAAUCACUGGGCGUAAAGGGCGCGUAGGUGGUUUGAUAAGGGUGUGGUGAAAGUCCGGAGCUCAACUCCGGAUCUGCCGUGCCGACUGUCAAACUCGAGGGCUGUAGAAGCAGACGGAAUUCCGGGUGUAGCGGUGGAAUGCGUAGAGAUCCGGAGGAAGACCGGUGGCGAAGGCGGUCUGCUGGGCAGUUUCUGACACUGAGGCGCGACAGCGUGGGGAGCAAACAGG